GAUGAACGCUGGCGGCGUGCCUAAUACAUGCAAGUCGAGCGAACAGACGAGGAGCUUGCUCCUCUGACGUUAGCGGCGGACGGGUGAGUAACACGUGGAUAACCUACCUAUAAGACUGGGAUAACUUCGGGAAACCGGAGCUAAUACCGGAUAAUAUAUUGAACCGCAUGGUUCAAUAGUGAAAGACGGUUUUGCUGUCACUUAUAGAUGGAUCCGCGCCGCAUUAGCUAGUUGGUAAGGUAACGGCUUACCAAGGCGACGAUGCGUAGCCGACCUGAGAGGGUGAUACGCAACACUGGAACGGAGACACGGUCCAGACUCCUACGGGAGGCAGCAGUAGGGAAUCCUCCGCAAUGGGCGAAAGCCUGACGGAGCAACGCCGCGUGAGUGAUGAAGGUCUUCGGAUCGUAAAACUCUGUUAUUAGGGAAGAACAAAUGUGUAAGUAACUAUGCACGUCUUGACGGUACCUAAUCAGAAAGCCACGGCUAACUACGUG
rnacentral:rRNA from 1 species